CACAAUCUUCAUGGAGAAGCACAAGAUUGAAGAUGCCAGAAGAUUAAAUUGAAGACGCCCUAAUAUUGAAGAUGCCACAAUCAUUUUACGCUAAUUUCUCUCUUUAUUAUGUUGAACGCUAAUGGCAACACACAUCCAAAUCUCAUCCAGUCCCCCCAUCUUAUGUAAAUCUAUCUUCUUUUAGUUUGAUCGGCUACUAAGUGGUUUGAGUUUUUAAGAUACCAAUGGAAAUGAGGAUGAAGAAGUGGAUGCCAUGGCUAACUUUCUGGUGGUGUAACUGAUUUGGUGGGGUUUGGGAUGGGACGAUGGGUGUUUUCAUAGUUAGGAAGUUGCACUCAAGGUGUUCGAUGACCUCAAUGCAAAGCUUUCUCAUUUUGGGCUUGGGAAGGAUGAGCCUAUGGAAGAUCAAACCCAUGUACCAACACCACUUAUGGAGACAUAUGGAUAUGCAACACCCGAGUAUGUCAUCGCUUUCACUGGUGUUGUCGUGAGAAAUAAAUAAUGCUCUGUUAGGCCUCGCUGCUAGGUUACCAAAAAACUGUGAAAGUGUAAAGGCAAUAAGGGAAAUAAAAGAAUCUGGAAUCUUGACUAUAUGUAAAUUUUAUGCUAUGUUGGGCCUCCAUGGGAUGCCCACAAACUGGGCACACUUGCAAAGAUUAGAACUUCAGGGGACCAAGACCCGUCCUCUAUGUGCACGAUUCAGAUGGAAAUUUCCAGAGACUUAUAAAUACUUUUAAUUGUUUUUACUUAUAAUUAAUAUUUUUUACGUUUUGAUUGUUGAAUGAAAAUGUUGUUUCAUUCUUUGUUGUUCUUUAUAAAUUUAUUA